rnacentral:misc_RNA from 1 species
GUGAAUUGAAUAUGUUAGCGGACCUCUUCGGAGUCCCUAGCAUCAAAUCAUAUCCAUAACACCUGUGAACUGUAAGGCUGUCUUGAAAACGAAAGUGAUUAGAGCGCCUCCCUUCGGUUAUUAUAUCAACCUCAAACUACGUUUACUAGAAUGUAUACCGUCUUGUUGUAACGACAAGUACAAUCCAAUA